GAUGAACGCUAGCGACAGGCCUAACACAUGCAAGUCGAGGGGCAGCAUGAAAGUAGCUUGCUACUUUUGAUGGCGACCGGCGCACGGGUGCGUAACAGGUGUGCAAUCUGUCCAUAAUCGGGGAAUAGCCCAGCGAAAGUUGGAUUAAUGCUCCAUGUGAGCCGAGGAGGCAUCUCUUUGGUUUGAAACGCAAGGAUUAUGGGUGAGCACGCUUCUGAUUAGGUAGUUGGUGAGGUAACGGCUCACCAAGCCGACGAUCAGUAGGGGUUCUGAGAGGAAGGUCCCCCACAUUGGAACUGAGACACGGUCCAA
rnacentral:rRNA from 1 species